UAGCGGAGGAAAAGAAAUAACAAGGAUUCCCCUAGUAACGGCGAGUGAAGCGGGAAGAGCUCAAAUUUGAAAUCUGGUAGCCUUCGGUUGCCCGAGUUGUAAUCUAGAGAAGUGUUUUCCGUGCCGGCCCAUGUACAAGUCCCUUGGAACAGGGCGUCAUAGAGGGUGAGAAUCCCGUCCUUGACAUGGACCCCCGGUGCUUUGUGAUACACUUUCAACGAGUCGAGUUGUUUGGGAAUGCAGCUCAAAAUGGGUGGUGAAUUCCAUCUAAAGCUAAAUAUUGGCGAGAGACCGAUAGCGAACAAGUACCGUGAGGGAAAGAUGAAAAGCACUUUGGAAAGAGAGUUAAACAGUACGUGAAAUUGUUGAAAGGGAAACGAUUGAAGUCAGUCAUGCUCUUGGGACUUACCUCCCUUGAGUGGGGUCAACAUCAGUUUUGAUCGAUGGAUAAAGGCACUAGGAAGGUAGCACUCUCGGGUGAACUUAUAGCCUAGCGUCAUAUACAUUGAUUGGGACUGAGGAACGCAGCAUGCCUUUUGGCCGGGAUUCGUCCACGUACAUGCUUAGGAUGUUGACAUAAUGGCUUUAAAACGACCCGUCUUGAAA
rnacentral:rRNA from 1 species